GCGGGCAUAGGCGGAUCGCUACGCCAUAUCAAGAAGCUUGGCAAAUCGCGACCUGCGAAAUUCGCUGUGGACGUAGAGGAGGCAGCGAGGCAGUGAAAAAAGGCAGAGAAGGCGUAGCAGGGUUAGCAGAGCAGCAGUGAGAAAUGAGGAAGUUCGAUCCAUGGCCUGUUUUCUUCAGGCGAGAAUGGAAUCGGAACUGGCCCUUCCUGGUAGGCUUUGCCAUCACCGGAACCCUAAUCGUCAAGUUCACCGCCAGUCUUACGGAGGAAGAUGCUAAGAAGUCCAAGUUCGUUCAGGAGCACAGGAGGUGAUUCCAAGCGGUUUGUAUGGCUUCCAGCUUUGCACUUCGUUUUCGGUGUCAGCGUCAAGAGAGGUUUGCUUGUCUUGGUGUCGCAGAUUGUAAUAACAGAAGAGAGAUGUCAUACAUACUCUCUCCACCUUUAAUUUUCAGUAUUGAUCUUUGAUUAACUAUGGAAAAGAUCCCUACCAAGCAUUGCAUUAAACAAUAGAUCGACAUUUUGCUUUCUUUGUUCAUAUCAAUUCUUAUACUUGAACUUCCUGUUUUACUUAUUUUCUAUUCUUUUAGAAAAUAAUACAACGGUUAAUUAUGUA